rnacentral:lncRNA from 1 species
GGGGGUUAUGUCCCUUACAUAAUGGUAAAACCAAUACAGUCAUAAUGUAACAAAGUUGCCCCUUGAAGUACUGAACAUUUUUCACUGCUUAAAUUUUCUGUAUCUAUAACCAUUCAAGAAUUAUAGGGAAAUCAAAGACAUAUGAAAAUCUAAAAUAUGACCUUGACCUUUGACCUUGACCUAAUUUUUUAAGUUAGGACCCAGGGGACUCAAAUAAAAACAUUCCAGGGUUAUACGGUUAACGGUUUAUGAGUUAAAAAAACAUACCUACAAAUUUAUUCCGUAAAGGUACAUAACUCCUAUAAAAUUUCAUCGAAUCGCUUCGAUCCAAAUUAGCCAAAAAUUCCUGAGGAUGUAACGAACAAUUUGUAAAAAGAAUUUUGUCGCUUUCUUAUUUUGUUACGAAGGAGAUGCACAC